rnacentral:rRNA from 2 species
UAGGGAGUUUUCGGCAAUGGGGGAAACCCUGACCGAGCAACGCCGCGUGAGUGAUGAAGGUCUUCGGAUUGUAAAGCUCUGUUAUAAGGGAAGAACGGCAGCUAGAGGAAAUGCUAGCUGUUUGACGGUACUUUAUGAGAAAGCCACGGCUAACUACGUGCCAGCAGCCGCGGUAAUACGUAGGUGGCAAGCGUUAUCCGGAAUUAUUGGGCGUAAAGAGUGAGCAGGCGGCAGUUUAAGUUUGGAGUCAAAGCGAGGGGCUCAACCCCUUAACGCUCUGAAAACUGAACAGCUAGAGUGCGAGAGAGGUAAGUGGAAUUCCAUGUGUAGCGGUGAAAUGCGUAGAUAUAUGGAGGAACACCAGUGGCGAAGGCGACUUACUAGCUCGAUACUGACGCUCAGUCACGAAAGCGUGGGUAGCAAAUAGG